rnacentral:rRNA from 1 species
CUACGGGCCGCUCCAGUGAGGAAUAUUGCACAAUGGGGGGAACCCUGAUGCAGCAACGCCGCGUGGAGGAUGACGCAUUUCGGUGUGUAAACUCCUUUUAUAUGUCAAGAAAAUGACGGUAGCAUAUGAAUAAGCACCGGCUAACUCCGUGCCAGCAGCCGCGGUAAUAGGAGGGUGCAAGCGUUACUCGGAAUCACUGGGCGUAAAGGACGCGUAGGCGGGUUGGAAAGUCAGGUGUGAAAUCCUACAGCUUAACUGUAGAACUGCACUUGAAACUUCUAAUCUAGAGUAUGGGAGGGGGAGAUGGAAUUAGUGGUGUAGGGGUAAAAUCCGUAGAUAUCACUAGGAAUACCUAAAGCGAAGGCGAUCUCCUGGAACAUUACUGACGCUAAGGCGUGAAAGCGUGGGGAGCAACCAGGAUUAGAUACCCCUGUAGUC